rnacentral:misc_RNA from 1 species
ACAAACGGCAAAACAUAGCAGGGAUUGAUAUAAAUCUUUAUUUCCAACAAACAAUCAGUUUUUUAUAGUCCAUACACGAAUUUAAGGCAAUACAAGACAUAAAAUACAGCCAAAUCUAUGAACAGGAAUCACCAAUAAGCUGAAACAGCUUCAAUACGCUUGAGAAACAAGGUGAGAACAGAAAACGACAAAUGCACAUGCCAAACAGAUCAAUAUGCUAAAUAGCAAUCCGUUGGAACAUAUACAAAACUAUAAAUAAACAUCAUAUUAGGUACAACUUACAAAUCUACGAAUCCUGAAAACUGAUGGUUCGGCGAACAUGAUUCAGCUGAAACAAACCAUCCCUGCCCACCCUACACCCACUUGCAUCAUGUGUUUGUUGACCAACUGGUUUCAUACCCAUCUCCCUCCCCAAGUCCGUCAACAAAAGAAAACAAAGAAACCGGGAUAUGUAUGCCUUGUAGGGAAUAUGUUCCAAUAAUUCCAAAAUGAUGGAUGUUAAAGGAACAGCUAGCUAGGUUUUCAUUUUCUUUUCUGCUUUUGAAUGCGAUAGAAACAACACCGGAUGAAAGGUUAAAAAAAGCAAGCAAAAUGGCAGACAGUAUUAGAUUUUGGUUCUUGCCAAGACAUAGCAUUUGCCAGUUUCCCGCCUUCGCAAAUUAUAUAUACAAAAAAUUGUUAAAUUAAUACACAUAAUACAAUUAUGUCAUAUUUUGGUUCAAAUCAGUGACCAACAGAAAAAAUAAAGGCCCUUUUUUUACCAGCAGGUGAGACAGCUAGAAAUGCAAACAAACAGUGUAAAUUUGGAUCCUACUACCACACAUUUGUGUUUUUCCCAUCUUCCCAUCAAUACUCCAGAUAUUUAUUUAUUAAAGCACUAGUACUGCUUUUAUUUAGUUCAAACAUAAUUCUAAUUAAAACAAUAUAAAAAAAAAUUGUUCGCAUCAAAUAAUUUGUUUCAGAUCAGCAGUAUCUGACAUUAUCAUAAAGAUGCCUUGUAAUCCACAUACAAUAAGUUCAAGCCAAUAAUGGCUGAACAUGAUAUGAUAGAACAUCUAAAAUGUCACAUUCAUCAGAUAGGGAACAUAUAAAAACAGGAAGUACGGGUAAAAUAAGAAAACUGACAUCACUCGUCAAUACGCUCAUCAAAAGAUACAGCAAUUUUUGAAGAACCUACAUACUAACUUAAUACUAGCAAGUAUCAACUAACAGCCACACAUAUAGGUGAAGCGGCAACAGAUGUACAGCAGUCCAUGUAACCAAAGAUUUCAGAGUCUGCAAUCAGGAAAUCACCACAACCAUUAAAAGCAUGUUGCAUCCAAGAAGCUCUCAAGACACCUCAGUAGUAUGGAGGCAUGCCCUGGUACAUCCCACCUGGUGGAACCCUUGACCCAGCUCCUGGUUGUGGUACCUGUGUCGGAUAAGCCGACUGUAAAGCAUAACUACCACCAUCUGGAAAACCUCCUGAACUAGGCAUUCCAGCAGAGCUUUGAGGCAUCCUGUACCCACCAUAAUCCCCAGAAUUACCCCCAUACCCACCAGCGCCAGCAUAUCCACCCGCGCCAGCAUAUCCACCAGCACCACCUGUAAAGGAUCCCGGUCCUUGGUUUCCAUAUCCAGGCCCGCCAAUAGCUGAAUUCAGAUGUGGAUUCUGAUGUGCCACCAUCCCAGGCUGAGGUGGUGGCUGCUGCAUUCCUGGACCAGGCCCACCUGAAAACCCUGAAUAUGGACCCAUACCGCUUACAGGAACACCAUAAUUGGAACCAGGCAUGGAUCCAACCCUAUCAUCACCAGGCAUUCCUACAAGUCCAGCAUUCAUUCCAGGGGCACCCCCGUGCCCCAUAUUCUGCGGCUUCCCCUUCUUAUUAUCGGUUGCCAAUUUACACAAGACCUGAUGUCCUUCUACGGUCUUCACGGGAUCAACUAACGAUGCCCUAGCUCCAUCCUCAGUCUUGUAGACAAAAAAAGCAAAUCCUUUCGCUUUUCCAGUUUGUUUAUCAAAUCCCAAAGGCCCCUCUUCAAUCUCUCCAUACAUGGAAAAGUGAUUCAAAAGCUUUUCAGACGAAAUUUCAAAUGGAACAUUACCAACAUAGAUCUUCCUAAGCGCAACAUCAGAAGACUGAGAAUUCCCAGAAUUACCCGCAGCAGCAAGCUGUGUGACGGUAACACGUCCAUCAAUUAUCUUGUUGGGCACCUUUAAAGAAAGAAUAGCAGCAUCAACAUGCUUGAAAGUUACAAAACCAUACCCUUUAGAUCUGGAAGACGCCUUAUCAGUUAUAACAACAGCCUCAUCAAGUUCUCCAAACUCAGAAAAAACCUGUCUGAGUUUGUCAGUGGUGGUCUCCCACCCAAGACCACGAACGAAAAGCUUGCGGUUAGAUACGUCGGCGUCAGCGACAGCACGUAAACCUUCGAGAACAUCAGGAUAGCGCAGGGCGGCGUUACGGAGAAUUGAAACGCACUGGUCCUUGGUGAACGUUUCAAGAAUUUUGUCAAUGUCUUCCGGGGAAAGAACAGCAAGUGCCGGUGGGGCGGCGGCAGUUGUGACGAGUUCGGUUUUUACAGGAUAAGCACCGCCGUUCUCAUCAGUUUUGCGCUUCUUUGAUAGAUCCAUUUUCACUCAGAGAAGAGAACUGUAAA